GACGAACGCUGGCGGCGUGCUUAACACAUGCAAGUCGAACGGAAAGGCCCUGCUUUUGUUGGUUGCUCGAGUGGCGAACGGGUGAGUAACACGUGAGUAACCUGCCCUUAACUUUGGGAUAACUUCAGGAAACUGGGGCUAAUACCGCAUAGGAGCUCCUGCUGCAUGGUGGGGGUUGGAAAGUUUCGGCGGUGGGGGAUGGACUCGCGGCUUAUCAGCUUGUUUGUCGGGUAGUUGCUUACCAAGGCUUUGACGGGUAGCCGGCCUGAGAGGGUGAACGGCCACAUUGGGACUGCGAUACGGACCAGAAUCCAACGGGAGGCAGCAGUGGGGAAUAUUGCAGAAUGGGCGGAAGCCUGAUGCAGAAAUGCCGCGUGCGGGAUGACGGCCUUCGGGUUGUAAACCAAUUUCGAAUGUGACGAAGAGUGAGUGACGGUAAUGGGUAAAGAAGCAACGGCUAACUACGUG
rnacentral:rRNA from 1 species